GCCUCUAUAGCACAGUGGUAGUGCGUUGCACUUGUAUCCUACGAUGGACGCGAGUUAUGCAGAGGUCGCUCGUUCGAUCCGGGCUGGAGGCA